UGGGAAAGGCCUCAAAGACACCCCACCUCAGUGAGCCUACACACCACCGACUCUGCCCCAGACCCCAUGCCUGCACAGCCCUCCUUACCCCUAUGCCUUCCUCUAAAGCAGCCAGUGUGGUCACUCAACUAUUGUUUACUGAGUACAUCCUCUGCUGGAUCUGGGAUGGCCACUAGGGGGCGUGCAUGAACUUAGAGGUAUGAUUCCCAUCCUGGACUAGCUAAUCCGCUGGGGUCUGGAGUGAGAGUAUAUUCUGAUCUAAGAAAGUAUGUCAGGGUAGCAGGAAGGACCCCAGAACAGCCGAGGUCCAUUCUGCACCCCCUGUUCCUGCUCAUGUCUCCUGAGUGGCUGUCUGAGGGUUCAGGCCUCUCCUGAAUAACUUUAUUAACUUGAUAGUGAAUGUUUGGUUUGCAGACAAGAGACCUGAGCUGUUGUUUACUGCAGAGCAGGAAUGCUGAGGUCCAGAAGUUUCUGUGUGAGUGCAGACUUGGUUAUUGAUUGACAGGACUUUCUGGGAGGUUGGGGGGGUGGUAACAGAGAAUUCACCAUGCUCCAUAUGAUCUUCUUCCUCUACUUCUCCAGGUGCCUUGUGGCAGCCUUUCUCAC
rnacentral:lncRNA from 1 species